UAAAUAACUCAAAAACCACAAAUAAUAAAAAAUUAAAACCAAUUGCAAAUGGUCUCAGAAUAUCACUCUCUAUAUCAUACUAACAGUUAAUUUAAAGAUGAACAACCCAUUUAAGGAGUCAGUAAUGUAAAUGGCCGCACUGUAUAAAGUCAUUCGUUUCCUUGUACAGACACUUGUAGUUCACGCUCUGUUAUAGUCAGUGAUUCUUAUACCACAAACACUAAUCCCCAAUUUAACUCCAUCUGCUUUUCCUAUGUGUGUGCAAAUGUAUUGACUCCCCACUGCCCCUUUAUUCCUCACAGCUGGGUGGGCGGGGCAGACUCAAUGGGGUUGGGCUCCGUUGCUGAUGGAACAUUCCCUGGACAUGAAAGUGACGCUGCCUAAGCCGGUGCUUAUUUUGUAAUGUGGAUGAUCUAAACGUUUAAUAAAGAGCUGUCGGUUUGUCUCUGAGCACGUGGCUGCUAACGCUGGCGCUUUAUUGUGUGUGGGAACCUGUAUCCCCCCAAUCGGCUUCAUCCUCAGCCGUUAAGCCCCGCCCUGUGUAUAUUUGGGUUCUCACUUCCCAUGUAGAACUGCGCAGCUUUGGGUCUGUUUCAAUGUGACGGCCUCCAGGAUAUUAUUGGGAAUAAACUGCCGCCUUGGUGAUGGUGGGUGGAGUCGAUCCAGACGCAAACCGUGAGUAGUUCAUUUUUGUUCUCAGUGUGUGUUGGAUAAUCCUUGUUAGUUCCCUAUAGGAACGACUUGUGUUUUCUACUGAAAUGUUACAGACAACCAGGAUAAAGCUUGGGGUUAAGAGACAUUCUAAGGGGCCAUAUUGGGGUGGGUUUCCCUAUCUCGGGGCAAUUAUUCUCUCUGGGAAUUUGCAAACCUGCUUUUUUUUCUUCUUCCAGUUCACGUCGAGGCAGCCAUCUUGUUUUGUCCAGGCCCUACCAUUGCACAGCCGGGAUUGUCAGAUGACAGUUACUCUGGUUUCCUGUUGCACGGCAUCCAUUAGUGAAGCAAGGCAGCUUACCCGUUACAGCCCCAGUGACUCAUGGGAAGGACAGACAUUGCUGGAGGCUUUUGAGUGGCUACGGGGUAACGACCAGAAUAAAGGAAUCAUCACCAAAGUACCACUGGGCAUCUACAACUGCCUGUCUUGACUCCCAUUGUACAGGUAACCAUAAAGCAGGAAAAUGGAAACCACUCCGUCUGACAACUCCUCCGCUGGGAAUAUGCCCCCAAAGCUGAACAUCUGCUCCAGAACUCUUCUGCACACUGAAAGGGAAACGUCGAGUGGUGAUUGGUUAACAUUAAAUGUUCAUUUCUUACUAACCAUGUGACUGCCAUCUACUUCCUCUCUGUUAAACACUUUUUUUUAGUUCUGUUGUUUUUGGGUAGUUCACCAGAAAUAAAGACUUUCCACACUA